CUGAAGGUGGCAGGAGAAGAUAAAACCAAAAUUCAGGGUUUGCUUUUUAAAUACCAUGCUAGUAAAAUCAGAACAGUAAUGACGGGAACCAAAAGAUCUAUCUGAAAUGUUCCUAAGCACAGACUCGAGAAAUGUAGGGAACUCGAGAGCAGCCACUCGGCCCCAGGAUCAACCCAGCACCGAAGAAAAACAACCAGAAGAAAUUAUUCUUCAGCCUGAAAUGAAGCCGGGAUCAAAUGGUUGCUGAUCAGAGCCCAUAUUUAAAUUGGAAAAGUCAAAUU
rnacentral:lncRNA from 1 species